UCGGUUACCUUGUUACGACUUAGUCCCAGUCCUGGUUUCACCUUGGGCCCACUUUGUUGUGGGACUUCGAGUGCCCCCAGCUUCCAUGACUUGACGGGCGGUGAGUACAAGACCUAGGAACAUAUUCACCGUGACAUGCUGAUUCACGAUUACUAGCGAUUCCAACUUCAUGAGGGCGAAUUGCAGCCCUCAAUCCGAACUGAGAUCGAUUUUGAUGGGAUUGGCUCCGCAUUGCUGCUUGGCUACCCAUUGUAUCGACCAUUGUAGCACGUGUGUAGCCCAAGACAUAAGGGCCAUGCUGAUUUGACGUCAUCCUCACCUUCCUCCGACUUGGAGUCGGCAGUCUCGCAUGAAAUAUGCAACAUACGAUGAGGGUUGCGCUCGUUUCCUGACUUAACAGUACACCUCAAGGCACGAGCUGACGACAACCAUGCAACACCUGUCAUCGGGUUCCCGAAGGCACUGCCCCGUUUCUGGGGCAUUCCCGAGAUGUCAAGUCUUGGUAAGGUUUCCCGCUUAUUAUCGAAUUAAACCACAUGCUCCACCGCUUGUGUAGGUCCCCGUCUAUUCCUUUGAGUUUUAAUCUUGCGACCGUACUACCCAGGCGGGAUACUUAAUGCGUUAGCUUAGGCUCUGAAGGGGUCGAAUC
rnacentral:rRNA from 1 species